GAUUGAAUUUCAUUUAUUUGCUCAUGUUUGCGGUCACAUUUGUCGUCGGGACAAUUAUAGCGGAGCCUCCUCCCACCAGAGCAGCAAGUUCUUGAGAAAUGCGCCAAGUGCUCAUCGACAUAUGAGACUGUGCGUGUCUGUUGACCUCUGAGCACCUCAAGUUUUCACACCUUUUUC
ensembl:ncRNA K02H8.6 ncRNA